rnacentral:rRNA from 1 species
UACGUAGGGCGCAAGCGUUGUCCGGAAUUAUUGGGCGUAAAGAGCUCGUAGGCGGCUUGUCACGUCGGGUGUGAAAGCCCGGGGCUUAACCCCGGGUCUGCAUUCGAUACGGGCUAGCUAGAGUGUGGUAGGGGAGAUCGGAAUUCCUGGUGUAGCGGUGAAAUGCGCAGAUAUCAGGAGGAACACCGGUGGCGAAGGCGGAUCUCUGGGCCAUUACUGACGCUGAGGCGCGACAGCGUGGGGAGCAAACAGG